UACAGAGGGUGCAAGCGUUGUUCGGAAUUAUUGGGCGUAAAGCGCGUGUAGGCGGCUUUGCAAGUCGGGUGUGAAAGCCCUCAGCUCAACUGAGGAAGUGCGCCCGAAACUGCAGAGCUUGAGUGCCGGAGAGGGUGGCGGAAUUCCCCAAGUAGAGGUGAAAUUCGUAGAUAUGGGGAGGAACACCGGUGGCGAAGGCGGCCACGUGGACGGUAACUGACGCUGAGACGCGAAAGCGUGGGGAGCAAACAGG
rnacentral:rRNA from 1 species